rnacentral:rRNA from 1 species
GACGAACGCUGGCGGCGUGCUUAACACAUGCAAGUCGAACGGAAAGGCCCUGCUUUUGUGGGGUGCUCGAGUGGCGAACGGGUGAGUAACACGUGAGUAACCUGCCCUUGACUUUGGGAUAACUUCAGGAAACUGGGGCUAAUACCGGAUAGGAGCUCCUGCUGCAUGGUGGGGGUUGGAAAGUUUCGGCGGUUGGGGAUGGACUCGCGGCUUAUCAGCUUGUUGGUGGGGUAGUGGCUUACCAAGGCUUUGACGGGUAGCCGGCCUGAGAGGGUGACCGGCAACAUUGAUACUAAGUUCAGGCCCAGACUCGUACGCAAGGCAGCCGGGGGGGAUAGUAAAAUAUGGACAAGUGAAAGAUGCAGCAGCGCUAAGUGAGUGAAGCCGGCUUUUGGGAGUAGGCCCACUUUGAACUGGGACAAAGCUAGAGUGACGGUAAUGGGUAGGAAAGAACCGGCUAGCUACAUG